UUGGAGGGCAAGUCUGGUGCCAGCAGCCGCGGUAAUUCCAGCUCCAAUAGCGUAUAUUAAAGUUGCUGCAGUUAAAAAGCUCGUAGUUGAAUUUCGGGACCAAUAUGUCGGUCGUGCCUCGGUACGUACUGGCAUCGUUGGUUUCUCCCUUCUGACGAACCAUGAUGUCAUUUAUUUGGUGUCGUGGGGAAUCAGGACUGUUACUUUGAAAAAAUUAGAGUGUUUAAAGCAGGCUCACGCUUGAAUACAUUAGCAUGGAAUAAUGAAAUAGGACAUUUGAUUCUAUUUUGUUGGUUUCUAGGAUCGACGUAAUGAUUAAUAGGGAUAGUUGGGGGCAUUAGUAUUCAAUUGUCAGAGGUGAAAUUCUUGGAUUUAUUGAAGACUAACUACUGCGAAAGCAUUUGCCAAGGAUGUUUUCAUUAAUCAAGAACGAAAGUUAGGGGAUCGAAGACGAUCAGAUACCGUCGUAGUCUUAACCAUAAACUAUGCCGACUAGGGAUCGGAUGAUGUUAAUUUUUUAAUGACUCAUUCGGCGCCUUACGGGAAACCAAAGUGUUUGGGUUC
rnacentral:rRNA from 1 species